rfam:Sorghum bicolor cultivar BTx623 chromosome 1, whole genome shotgun sequence.
GUAGUCGAAUUCACAUCAAUCCACGUGUAUUGGAGUGGGUUGGAGUAAAACUUGAACUAAAUUCUACCCCAAUCUACUCCGAUAUAUGUGGACUGAGGUGAAUCCGACA